rnacentral:lncRNA from 1 species
AAGGUAAAGCCGAGAACUCCUCCACUCUCUUUAGUUAAUCGUUUCUGAUGUUGAAUCUUUCCCUUAUCUGUUUAAUCAUUUUCUUUGCUUGAUUUUCUCGAUUAUGAUUAAACAUGGACUCUAGCUUUUCUUUGUUUAAUCGUUUCUUUGCCAUCUUGUUUACUUUAAUAAUAAAUAGUUAUUAAAAAUAGUCGUGAGAUACUCAAAGAUCGAAAUAGAAUCUGGAGAUCCCGAGAUCUCUAGCAGAGAUCUGAAGAAUACGGCGGAUGAGGACCUUAAUGAGGGAUUUGUUCUCCCUAUUGAAAAAAACGCUAAAGUAUUAUUUUUCUUCUGAGGAGAAGCCUUAACUUAUUCGUUAUGUUCUUUUUCCUUUACAUGCCUGAUAAAGAGCUUAGAUUAGUCCAGUUUUGAUGAUUUUGUACAUUCUAAUAUGUCUCCUUAACUGUUUUGUGAAGCAUU